UUUACACAUGCGCAGUCUGGAGAAUUAUUUUCCCCGCCUUUUUUCAAUCACUGGAUGAACGACGACGGUUGGUUUUCUGCUGAAGUAAAUAUCAACUAUUUCUUCACCCACGGACAAUUCGAAUUCCAGCAUUGAUGUGAAGAGGGAAUGCAUCUUAAAAGCACUUUGUGUCUACUUUAAUGAAAACCCAAACGACAUGAUCAGAGAAUAUGUGGACGUUGAUCUUGCAGCUGGACAAACCAUCGAGCAGAUGACCAUGGGAGUUUAUGCUGUCAGGCACGAAGGAGCAGACUCUACAGAGGCACCGGAAGAUGUGGGAAGGAUGCACUGUGCUGGAGGCUCUGGGUGAUGUGGCCAAAGGAUGUGCCCUCCUUCUAGGCUUAAUCUACAGUCUAAACCUGCAAUACCCAAAGGACCUAAAACACACCUUUGAAUUUUUUCAAAAAAUGUUGAUGGAGUUGGAUGGAAACAAGCUAUCA